rnacentral:rRNA from 1 species
AACGAACGCUGGCGGCAUGCCUAACACAUGCAAGUCGAACGAGACCUUCGGGUCUAGUGGCGCACGGGUGCGUAACGCGUGGGAACCUGCCCUUAGGUUCGGAAUAACUCCCCGAAAGGGGUGCUGAUACCGGAUAAUGUCUUCGGACCAAAGAUUUAUGGCCUUGGGAUGGGCCCGCGUUGGAUUAGCUAGUUGGUAGGGUAAAAGCCUACCAAGGCGAGGAUCCAUAGCUGGUCUGGGAGGAUGAUCAGCCACACUGGGACUGAGACACGGCCCAGACUCGUACGGGAGGCAGCAGUGGGGAAUAUUGGACGAGGGGCGAAAGCCUGGUCCAGCAAUGCCGGGUGAGUGAUGAAGGCCUUAGGGUUGUAAAGCUCUUUUAGCCGGGAUGAUAAUGACAGUACCGGGAGAAUAAGCACCGGCUAACUACGUG